CAGGUCAGGGGCGAGGGUUCUGGACGGCGGCCGUGUGCUCGCGGAGCCGGCAGGAGGCGGCGGAGGCCGGGGGCGCGCCCGUGGGCCGAUUUCACCUGCCGCCUGUGGCCAUGGAUUCACACUGCUGUCCUCUAAAGCUAAGGAUGGGACGAAAGUUUGGGGGUUGAGACUCAACAGAGAUUCUCAGUUUGGAUUUCACAGGAGCCGAAAAGAGAAGAUUGAGGCUCUCCCCUUGGCUUUUUCUGCUGUGAUUCGCUGAGGAAGCUCCCUCUGAUUUUCAAGAAUCUGAUGGCAUAAAGCAAACCGAAUGAUUGUAGACAUACGCAGAAGUGGAUGGAAUAGGAUAAUGCACCCAAUGGGCCAUCACCAGCUUCCACCAUCGUCAGCUCAUGACGAUCUUGUUUUACGCAUUUCCCCCAUGUUCUCCCUCAGGAAAU